UACGUAGGGUGCAAGCGUUAAUCGGAAUUACUGGGCGUAAAGCGUGCGCAGGCGGUUUUGCAAGUCAGAUGUGAAAGCCCCGGGCUCAACCUGGGAAUUGCAUUUGAAACUACAAGGCUAGAGUGUGUCAGAGGGGGGUAGAAUUCCACGUGUAGCAGUGAAAUGCGUAGAGAUGUGGAGGAAUACCGAUGGCGAAGGCAGCCCCCUGGGAUAACACUGACGCUCAUGCACGAAAGCGUGGGGAGCAAACAGG
rnacentral:rRNA from 1 species